rnacentral:rRNA from 3 species
GUGGCCCCAAGUCAGGCGAGGCCCACCCGCCGAA